ensembl:lncRNA
GAGCACAGCAGCCAGUCAGGUGCUGAGUCAGAGCUCCAGGACAGGCCUUCCUCUCAAAACUGAUGGAUGGAAACCUAAGACAGUGUUUCAUUUCCUGCACGUGGUUGUCUAUUGAGAAAAGAUGCAUGGAUUAAGUCUUCAGCAUGGUGUCAGAUUUCUGCUCUUCAGUACCUUGCAGCCUUGAAGAUGAGAAAGCAACCAAAAUGGCUCUUUCGGUGUGACAGAAACAGACCACUUCCUGUGAGGAUCUGGGAGCAAACAGAACAGUUUCCAAGUUCUGUAUUCAACGUUUCUUACGAUGUUCAGCCUUAUUUUGAAUUUUGCUUGGUCUGGUUUUGCUUAUGUAGCAGAGCUGAUGGCAUCUGCUGGGAUGGUUUACGUGCUGCAGUUUUCUUUCUUCAUCUAGAAUCAAUAUGAGCACCAUAAAAAAGAUGCUGUGGGUUAUUAAAAUCAUUUUAACAACAUUGUUGACUCAACAAGAGCAAGAAGAUAAUGCCUAAGGAUUCUGAAUUUUCCCUACUUUUUUUUUUUAACUGGAAAAAUAAUAACUUGGUACAGGCAGAUUUGCUUGAGAGUGCUGCUUUUUUUUUUUAAAAAUAGCCUGCUGCUUCACUGUUGUAACUCACAGUGGUUUAUAAGCCUGGGUGUUUUACUACUUUACUCUCUGUGAAUCUUGUUAACAAGGUGACUAUGCAUUUUUUUAAGGAAAUAAGUAAUGACUUUUAAAAUACAAACCAAGCAUAUUUUUGAGAAAAUGGAGUUUGCCUUUCUCGUCCCCUGAUUUGGUUCAAAAUCUUACCCAACAGUGUGUGACUUUCUAGAAUAAAGGACACAUUCCCUAUUAGGAUCGUUAAGAC